ensembl:lncRNA
GCCCACGGCAUCUGAACAGCUCAAAGCACACGCACCUCGUGGCUUUCUCUCCCUCCCUGUCUCUCUCUCCCAGCGCCCUCACUGCUGCCCCCGGGCAUCACUUCCCAGAUGACCUACCUGUGCCCACCUGUGCCCACCUGUGUCCUGUGAGACACCUGUAUCGAGCCUCCUUGACAGGAAUGUCCAAAGCGAGACGGGCGCUUGUGGCAGAACAGAGGAAAACCCAGGGCGGCUUGGAGAGAAAUGGCAGCGGGGGUCCACCCAUGUCGGCUCGUCGCUCGCUCACACCCCGACGCGUCCAUUCUUCGCAGGGUUUUCCAUAAGCUCGAUUAUUCGCUGUGUUCCCCCGCCUAACUUCUCCAGGCCCCUCCACCUCGAGAUGUCGUAAGAGCCACAUUUACGGAGCGCCUACGAUGUGCUGAAAGUUUUAUGUCAAUUAUUUCAUUGAGUCUGCAAAACAGUCUCAGGAGGUACAUCCUAUUGUGCCUCACCCCCCCCCCAUUUUUGAAAUGGGGAAACCGAGACCCAGAGAAGUGGUGUGUCACCCGGCCGACACAGCAGGAAGCUGACGUUUGAACUUAGAGCCACAGUCUUAAUCGUGACACUGUGUGACCGUCUCACUUUCUCACUCAAAACCUUCAGGGCCUUCAAGGGAGCUACCGGCAAAGGCAACUUACAUGGGGACUGACAACAGCGGAUAAAUUCUGGGCUGGGGGUCAGGGGACCCAGGGUUAGGAACCAGUGCCACUUGAGUUUCUGUAGGAUUGGGGACAAGUCACAUCUCCUCGCCUCUUCUGCAUCCCCAGCAGGUUCUCCAGGAUGCGGCCCCCACUGACCCGUCCAUCCUCAUGCCCAGUUCUCUCUACCGUCUUCUCGUAUUUCAGAAACCCCUAACUGCCUCUGGUCCCCUGUGCCCGGAAACUCCUUGUGCUAUGGCGUCGCCGGCAAUGCCUUUCCCACCACUCUUCAUCCGAACUCGUUUUUCAAGUCUCUGCUUAGAGGUCACCACUGAGAACUAGUAAGAAUUGUAAGGAGAUCUAAUUUUGAAGCAGAAUUGGAAGUGUGCAUCCAGAGGGAGAAAAUUGGUUAGUAUUCUACUUCCACAAAGCAAAACCCCUCACUGGGACUGUUUCUUUGGUUUAUCUAUUGCCAAGUAACACGCCACUCCAAAAUGUAGUGGCUGAAAGCAACAGUAAUUACUUAUUUUACUCACAGAUAUAUAAUUUGGGUAGGGCUCAGUGCAAUGGCUCAUCUCUAUUCCAUGUGGCACUCACUGGGGUAGCUACAUUAAGGACUGGACCUGACUCCCAUGAUGGGCAAGUUGGGGCUGUCAAUCAGCUGGGACCUCGGCCAGGGCUGGGGGCUGGGGACCUCCAGUCCUCCUCAUGUGCGCCCCUCUGUAAGGGUGCCUGGGCUUCCUCACAGCAUGGCGGCUGGUUUCCAAGAGUAAGCGCAAGGCAGAUGUGCAUAGCAUUUUUAUGACCCAGCCUGAGAAGUCAUAUACCGUCAUUUCUGCCAUCUCGGUUGGUCAAGACGUCUGCCAAGAGCUGUCCAGGUUCCCAAGGAGGAGGCAGAGCCUCCAGUUCUUGAUGGGGCUAGUAGGACUCUAGCACAGCUGAGGGACAGGAGAUGCUGUUGCCGCCAUCUUUGGAAGAUACAAUUGGCCUCAACUUGCAUAAUGGCUUUCUUGUGACUUCUGGUUGAUUGCUUUAGAAUUUCCAGUUAUUUCUCACACCUUUCUGAUAGGAAGCAAUGCCACAAAGGAAUAAAUUCCAGGGACGCAGGAUAUUCCACACGCAACGCUGAACUUCCUGACAGUGGUCUCAGGGAAUAGCCCCAGGCAGGAUGAGAUCAAAGACCUUUCCCUCUGCCCUUUUUGCUUUGUGGGUUGCCAUGGUGAUGAGAAGGGUAGAACUGAGAGCUGACUAGAGACAUUAUCAUAAUAUUGGACCUUAUAAAAUCUACACCAAAGAUCAUACACACACACACACACCCCUGCCCAAGGCAGGUAGAAGUGCGUAAUUGCAGGCUCGAGAUGCGAGAUAGAAAAAAAAUCAAUUAUAUCUUUUAGGAUUCUGCUGCUUCUCGGGACUUCAAAGAGAGACAGCCACUGAGAUGGCGGGUCACCUCCUCCAGGAGGUCUUCCCUGGUCCUCCAGACCAGGCUGUGUGCUGCCUCUGCGCUGUAUAAGUUGCCUUCACUGGCAAAUGUAUCCAACUAGAAACUAAUACAUGUUUCCUUCUCCACGGUGUUUAUUUCCUUUGUGUUGUUGUUACCUUUAAACUUUUAUUUUUCAACUGGUAAUUCACUUUUUAACUUUGUCGUAUUUGUCACAUGGUCAAAAGGCUUGCAAAUAUGUAUAUAAUUGCCUUUUAAUUGUUUGCCCAUUUUUUUUUAUUUUUGAGGAAGAUUAGCCCUGAGCUAACAUCUGCUGCCAAUCCUCCUCUUUUUGCUGAGGAAGACUGGCCUGAGCUCACAUCUGUGCCCAUCUUCCUCUACUUUAUAUGUGGGACGCCUACCACAGCAUGGCUUGACAAGUGGUGCCAUGUCGGCACCCGGGAUCUGAACCGGUGAACCCCGGGCCGCCGAAGUGGAACGUGUGCCCUUAACCACUGCGCCACCAGGCCAGCCCGUUUCCCCUUUUUUAAGUGUAUUUUAACACACACGCACACACACACAUGUGACAGAAGUUUAUUUAGAACAAAGGCCAAGGGUUCAAAAGUCAACUUCAAGUGUUUUUAAGCCAUUCUAUGUAUUUUUAUACUUAGCAUUUAUUUAUUGUUUGUGAUGCUGGCUUUUCCUUUAUAAUAGCGUUAUAAAGUUUCCUGUUUAAAAUUAAAUUCAUACAUUAAUUAAUACAUAUUGCAUAUGUUAUAAAGUUUCCUGCGGAAAUUAGAUUAAUAAUUUAAUUUUUAAAUGGGUUGGCUUUAUAGUGAGUAAAUCAUAGGAUAUGAUAUGGCAAAAAUCACACAG